GAGAGGGGAGGGGAGAGGGAGCGCGGGAGGAGGAGGGGGCAGGGCAGAGGGACCCGAGCGGCUCCCGAUCUGCGGGCGGCGCUGGGCAGCUCCGCCGCACGGCACCUGGCUAGCCCGCCUGGCGCUCGCCUCUCCUCUGCGCGCGCCCCGCCCCGCCCCUCCCCCGCGCCCGGGCGCGCGCGCUCCCCUCCCGCCCGCUCCAGAGAAGGGGCCCUGCUGAAUAAUUGAACAGGACUGAGGCUAGCAAGAGAGGCAGCUCUCUUCCUCCGCCUUCCCUUCCCCCGCACCUGGACGAACCCCAGUGGUGCCCUCUCUGGUCCGGCGCGCAGAGAUGUGGCCACGGCCACCUCUGCACGCACCCCUCGGAACACACGUGCACGCUAGGAUGUGGACGGGUAUGGAGACACCCACGUGCCCAUACAGGCACCAGUGAGCGCGCAGGCACACACACAGGCUCAGACACAUACAUGCAUACAUGUGCUCAUAGACACUGGCGCACGGACUCACACUCGGCGCGGGGGAGGGGCAGGAGGUGUGCACAUGCACAGAGGCACACAUGCGCGCACACAUACGUGUUCGGCCGCAAGCGAUGAACAGCCAACAUACACACAGACACCUCCUCCCAGCUCACCCUCCAAAAACAAUGACCCAGAGCCUCACAGGUACUCAAGGGGGGAAGACACGUCACACACGUACAGUCUUCUCACUACCUUCCCAAAAGGGUGCACACCCUCGCUGGACGCCUCCGAUCUUCCCCUCCCCCGGCCUCAACCUCUCCCUCCACGGAGUUUUCAGGACACCUGUCCACUGAGUGUCCCACUUAGGACAAAACCCUUCCUGGGUCACUUAGGUUCGGCCGAGGAAGCCACUUCUUCUAGGUGCCCCUCCACUGGGAUCUGCCUCCCCCCACUCCCCACCGCAGAGUUUUGGGGACCUCUGGGAAGCACCUGUCAUAGCCCAAGAGCACCGUGAGCCCGACGGGAACGCCUGAAUGCAGUCAGCACCCAGGACAGCUCCCCUGUUGCCCGGGUCACCUCCCCAACCUUGUGGGAGGACGUGGCCCCAUUUGGCCCCUGGCCCUUCAGAAGUGAAGAAAGGGGUCCCCAGAAGAGAAGGAAGGCUUCGAGGUGGAACAUGGCUCUGUGAGGAAAGAGACACUGCAGCCUGCAAAGCGGGGCUGGGGCCCCCUGAAGCCUUGUCCGCCUGCCCUCUCCAUUCCAUUCUUGUGCCCCAGGCUCUGGAAUAGAGAUUGACACAGCUCUGAGCAGGCAGAAAAUUUAUGGUCCCAGAGGGAAGGAGGGAGGAGCCGGUGGCGGUGAGAGGAGAGGAAGGGAAACCGCCUAGAGGCCAAUCAAUAUCAAGAUGGGUUCUCUCCUCUGAUCUCUCCUGCCUUCCCAGAGCAGACUACUGAACUUCAAAGGGACACAGAGGUCCUGCACACCCCAGGUUACAGACGGAGAAACUGAGGCCACAAGCUGGGAAAGGUUGUCCUGAAUGAAGGGCAGACGUCUCCCCACCCCAGUCUCUCCCCCACCAGA